rnacentral:rRNA from 1 species
GGAGGUCCGAACCCACGAGCGUUGAAAAGCUCGGGGAUGACUUGUGGGUAGCGGUGAAAUUCCAAUCGAGCCCGGAGAUAGCUGGUUCUCCCCGAAAUAGCUUUAGGGCUAGCCUCAAGGUGAGAGAUACGGAGGUAGAGCACUGAAUGUCCUAGGGGGUAUUGCACCUACCGAAGACUAUCAAACUCCGAAUGCCGUCAUCUUAUACUUGGGAGUCAGACUGUGGGUGAUAAGAUUCAUAGUCGAAAGGGCAACAGCCCAGAUCGUCAGCUAAGGUCCCUAAAUGUAAGUUAAGUGGUAAAGGAUGUGGGAUUGCACAGACAACCAGGAUGUUGGCUUAGAAGCAGCCACUCAUUCAAAGAGUGCGUAAUAGCUCACUGGUCGAGUGAUCCUGCGCCGAAGAUUUCCGGGGCUAAAACUUACUACCGAAGCUACGGCAUCAGUAAUGAUGGGUAGGGGAGCUUCCCAUACGGGUUGAAGCAUGACCGUAAGGACAUGUGGACAGUAUGGGAGUGAGAAUGUUGGCAUGAGUAGCGAGAUGUGGGUGAGAAUCCCACAGGCCGUAAACCCAAGGUUUCCAGGGGAAGGGUCGUCCGCCCUGGGUUAGUCGGGACCUAAGCUGAGGCCGAAAGGCGUAGGUGAUGGACAACAGGUUGAUAUUCCUGUACUACCGAUAACCGUUUGAGAGA